UGAGUCCUAGGAGGGAGGCUCCAUCCGAGAGUAGCCAAUGGGGGAGUUCGAUUUCUGCGGCUUGUCUUUCCGCACCUCCACGGCGUGAGCUGCAUUCCCGGGAGUUGCAGUGGCUCCUUCUACUCCAUCAGAGAGCCAACAGGAGCAACUCCUCCAUGAUGAGCCGUCUUCCUCCGGCCGUGAAGAGGUCUCUCAGGUGCUGGCAAUCAACGGCCCUGCAAAAAGGGCAUAUCUUCAAGGUGCUGACGAGAGUGGUCAUCACGACAGGCGCCAGCUUAGUGGGAUGGGGCGCUCACAUGGGACAUAGCAUGACUCAGGGCAAGUGGUCUACAGCUGAAGCAGCUUGCAACAUUAACUUCUUGGAGCUAUGGGCAGCGAAACCUGCCCUUCAUCAUUUCCAACAAGACAUUCUACAUCAGCAUGUACUCUUGAGGACGGACAAUGUGGCCACCAAGGCCCACAUAAAUCUCCAGGAUGGCACAAGGUCCAGGAAACUCAUGGUGGAAGCAGAGACCCUGGGCAAGUCGGCGGAGCGUCACGUCAAAUCCAUCCGCUCCGAUCACAUCUCCAGGGUGAACAUCACCCAAGCGGACUGGUUGAGCAGGACCACCAUAAACAAUGCAGAGUAGCAAUUGCACCUGGUCCUGUUCCGCCAGUUGUCCUGCAGAUUCGGCACUCCCACAGUUGACCUGUUUGCCACCCGUGAGAACAUGCAGCUCCAAAGUUUCUUCUCCCGCUUCCACUUGCCGGGGGGCGGAGGGGAUGGAUGCUCUCCACUGCAAGUGGUCCCAGGAACUGCUCUAUGCCUUUCCGCCAUUCCCUCUGUUACCAGAAGUGAUCCACAAAUUCUGUGCUGUAUUAAAUGUUAUCAAAUUCUGGCCACACAUAAUGUAUGUAAGUUGUUUUAAUAUGGAUUCCCAAUGGGUCAUUUGUUUAGUGUAUGGGCUAAUGUACCUGUCUCUCACCCUCUUAUACAGGCAAUAAUCAAAUAGGAUUUGAGCCAGGUCUUUUACCGCUGCUGCUCCACAAAUACAGAGACAUCCAUUAUAAGAUGCGGCUUCUGAGCAAUGAUGCUGGGCAUGGUGGAGAGUGCUUGAAACAAUACUAUCUGCAUUGGCAAAUAUGGCUGCAAUUGGUUCUCCUGGCUGUUCACCCACUCCUCAAUCUUCUUUUGUUGUGUGGGAAACAGAAUCCCAGCUUCCACAUCAUUUUUGCCCAUUUCAUUUUUAAAUAGCUGGAAAUGUUCUGCCUAAAUCUUGGCAAGUGACUUGACAAUUCAGAAUUCGAUGGGAAAAGACUGUGAGUCUGGAUUGGGCAUUUUCCCCUGCUUCCUGCUUUUUUGUCCUGAAUAUUGUGAAAUGUAUACUGUAAGUAAUUUUUGAAAAA